rnacentral:tRNA from 1 species
UCCCUGGUGGCUCAGAUGGUAAAGAGUCUGCCUGCAAUGCAAGAGACCCAGGUUCAAUCCCUGGGUUGGGAA